GGACGAGUACCUCAGGGGUAGAGCAACCGGCUGCAGUCCGGUAGUUCACGUGUUCAAAUCACGUCUCGUCCU